rnacentral:misc_RNA from 1 species
GAAAUGCGAUAAGUAAUGUGAAUUGCAGAAUUCAGUGAAUCAUCGAAUCUUUGAACGCACCUUGCACCCUUUGGUAUUCCAAGGGGUAUGCCUGUUUGAGUAUCAUGAAAUUCCUCAACUCCCUCGGAUUUGCGUCUGUAGGUGAGCUUGGACUUGGAGGUCUUUGCUGGAUGUAUGGGCUUUUCCUGAGCCUGCUCAUCUGGCUCCUCUUGAAACCAUUAGCUUGUGAGUUGAUCUCGAUGGCCUUUUCCGGUGUGAUAAAACUUUACAUUGAAUCGUGCCAUCCUGUAAAGCGACGCCUGCGUCGGGGAUCCUCUGGCUUACAACGGUCUCCAUGGGGACAAAACCUGAAUCUUUGAUCUCAAAUCAGGCAGGACUACCCGCUGAACUUAA